rnacentral:lncRNA from 1 species
CUAACCAUCUAUUAGCCUUAAGAAAUCCUAUAAAUACCCCCACCCAUUCAUUUUCAAUCCAACCUAGAAAUCUUAUUCUCUUCUAUUCUAAGUCAUAAUAUCAAGAGUAGAGAAAUCCUUAAUUUAGAAAAGUCUAGAGAAGUCAAGGUCAAGAGGUAAGUAACACUUCAACUACAAUGUAAGGACAAAAUUAUUUCCAUAUUUAACGUCAGUUUUAACCAUUCUUUUAUGUUGUGACAGCUAUUAUGAUGUGAUUAGUUAUGAUCUAAAUUCUUAUAUGGUCGGCUAUGCCACCUAAUCUAUGAUAUUUAAUUACGUUAUGGUCGGUUCUAUGGCCUAAACUAUGAUACUUAGUUACGUUAUGGUCGACUCUACCGCCUAAGUUACAAUACUUAGUUAUGUUACGGUCAGCUCUGCAGCCUAAUCUAUGAUACUUAUACUUAAUUAUGCUAUGAUCAGUUAUGCCGCAUGUAUUAAAGAAUCUUGUUCUUAAAUAAUGUUGUGUGUUGAUUCUGUUAUGCAUCUAGGAACUUCAAAUGUUAUGACAUAAGUUGCUUUGGAUACAUGCCUAUCAUGGAUUACAUUAUGAAGAAGAUGUUUCAGAAAAUGAAUUUAUGAAAAUAGGUGGUUGUACUACCAGGUGGCAAAGUUUCUAAGGAAGGCAAGCCCUCAAAGCUAAGUAAAAAGAAAUCUUUUGGAGACGGCGAUACGUAACGCCCAAAAGAUCAACUAAUGAGGCCCCAGGACAUAUUGUUUAAAAGAGUAAAAGUGCCAACCUUGUAGUGCAACAUACCUGGGGCCCUAAUGAAGUUGUUUUGUAUUUUUUAAGUUUCUUUUAAAAACUUAAUAUGAUCAUCCAUAUGCAUCAUAAUUUAUACAUACAUAAAAGUGUUAUCUUACUGGGCAUUAGCUCAUAAAGUCCUUACAUUGCAGGUAACGAUGAAAUAGGGCAAGCUGGCGCCAAGUCCUAACCAAGACGAAGUGCAUAUGGGCAUAAUAGACCUUGGGAUUUUAUGAUGGGCUCAGCUUUGUUUCAAUAAAAAAAAUAAGCAUCUUAGUUUAUGUAAUAAUAAAGUUUUUACACUAAGAAGUUUCUGUAUAACUCUUACUUUUUGUAAGAAAUCUUUGUUUGUUGUGUAAAUUUUUUUUAAUCUGUAUUUUUAAAAGCACAAUAUUUUUAAACAUCUUUAAAAUGAAUAUUUAAGUGGAGUGUUACAGUUACAAUACCCUUUUAUUUAUGUUGUACUUGUUAGUUGCAUUUGGAUAAAUUAUGUUUGUUG